CAACUCAACCACCAUCACCAAAACUUAGUCUCUCACUAAAAAGAAAAUGAGUUCUUCUAAAGCUUUUGUUUUCCUCUGUCUUCUCUUCGCCAUUAUCGUUCUCAUCUCGCCGGAGAUGGCAGCCAGAAACCUUUCUCCGACUUCCAUUGACCACAUCAAGGUCACAGAGGAGAUAAAUGCCGUAGAGGAUUUCGAGUAUGGUUGGGGACGAUACGGUGGAGAUCAAUACCCUGAACGUGGCGACUACGCUCACCCUGGACAUGGUCGAGUUCAUUGCGGGGUCGAUCAUAGUUGCUGCCGCGAGCUCAAAGGGUGGUGCAUUAAGUGCUGCAACCUUGCCGGAGAAGUUGAUGAUACAAAAACCUAAGGCAGCUUAUGGGUAUGGGGAGAAGAAAGGGUGGACAAAAAGGAUGGACACAAUUUAAAAGUUUAGGUUUGGAAAACUAUAUAUAAGGUAAAAGUUGAGAAAUAAAUAUGCAUGGGGAUCAAUGUAAUGGCUGGCCUAAUUUCUUUUACUUUAUUAGAUUUUGUACUUGCAAAUUAAUAUAAUGAACCAUGAAUAAAAAAAAAAUUAUUCAAUGUGACUACUA